UUACUUAUUAUUAUUCACUAAUAUUAUAAAAAGUUCUUUGAAACAUCAAAAAAUAAAGUAAUGGUGAAAGAAAGUUUAUUAUUUUUUAAAAAGUACCGCAGGGGAACAUUAUAAAUUGAAAAAUUCAGCUAUUUCAAGCGUACUUUUUGCAUCACGGCCUAGCAAGAUAAAAAUAGGUUUCUAUUUUCUAGAAGGUUAGUGAGCUAUCUUUUUUAGAUGUAUUAGUAUCUAUCUCUAGAUGUAGAAGAAUUUAAGUAAUAAAAAAAGAUAGAGAUGAGAUUUCAUUCGCACUAACGAUAGCUAGUUCUUACUGAAAAAUAUAGAAGUAUUAAGACAAGUAGAAUUUAAAUCAAACAAAAAUUGCUUUAAUUACCUUGAUCUCCAGCCUCUUGAGGAUAAGCUCAGAGGCUUCUGUUAUGGCACUGUAUUAUUUUAGUAGUUAUUGUGUGGGCCUAAAAUUAGCCAGCACGAAAGUUUGUUAUAAAAUAAACUAAAUAUCUAAUAAGAUUGAUAUACAUCUAUACCUAAAAACAUAGGUAAGUAAAGACUAGAAUUUUUAAGUUAAUAUACCUAUGCUAGGAUGAGUAUUUUAAUAAAGCUACAGUUAAGAUUAUUUUAAAAAGUUUUUCUCCCAGCUUAUGUUUUAAAUAUUAAUUAAGAGGAAGGAACUCGGCAAAAUUAUUGUUCCGCCUGUUUAUCAAAAACAUGGCUCCUUGACCUAUAUUAAUAAGGAGUCGAGCCUGCCCAGUGAAUUUUUUAACGGCCGCGGUACUCUGACCGUGCAAAGGUAGCAUAAUCAUUUUGCCUUAUAAUUGAAGGCUAGUAUGAAUGGUUUGACGAGAGCAAUACUGUCUCCCUCUUAUUUUUUAGAACUUGACUUUUAGGUGAAGAGGCCUAAGUUAGAUUGAAGGACAAGAAGACCCUGUCGAGCUUAAAAGAAUUUGCAGAAGUUAAUAUUAAGUAAGAUAAAUAAUCUGUUAAGCUUUUUAGUUGGGGCGACUAAGGAACAAAAAAAGCUUCUUAAACAAAAUAAAUAUAUAAAUAUAGAUCCGGUUUUACCGAUUUAAAGAAUUAGCUACCGCAGGGAUAACAGCAUAAUCUCUUCUGAGAGACCUAAUCGAAGAAGGGGGUUGUGACCUCGAUGUUGGACUAGAAUAACCUAAAGAUGCAGAAGUCUUUUAGGGUCGGUCUGUUCGACCGUUAAAAUUCUACGUGAUCUGAGUUC
rnacentral:rRNA from 1 species